rfam:Ixodes scapularis strain Wikel colony gcontig_1108378497156, whole genome shotgun sequence.
GCCGUGAUCGUACUGUGGUUUGUACCUUGCGUUAUGGCGGCAAUAACCCAGGUUCGAAUCCUGGUCCCGGCA